GGUGCUUUUUUGGAUUCGUAGCUUGUGCUUCCCAUCCCACUGGACCCCUCUCGAAGUUCCUGUGCAGGGUGCUGUCUCCUGCCAUUGCAUUUGGGACAGCAGUGGAGCCACAUGGCAGGUGUGUGCCUGCAGAUCUACAUGGGAAAUAAUCUGACAAGGGAACAGAGGGAAAUAGUGAAACCAUGCUACAGCUUUGCAGGUCCUACCUUGCAGCCUGCCAGACCCCAAAACCUGAAUUUUAGGGCUGAUGUGGUUUUUUUGUCCUCGGUGGCUGAACUGGCAUGUGGUUGCUAUUCACCUGAUGUGUAACACUGAAGCUGCAAUGCCCCUUUUGUGGGCUGAGCUGUGAUCUGUGUUUGCUGGGUGCUCUGGAGAGGAUUUGCUGUAGCUGGUCAUUGUUUUGAAGGUUUAUUGAUCUCCUGUAGUGCAUGAAAUUCUCUCACGUUACGUGCUGAAACUGUGCACUGAGAUGCUUAGGAAGCCCCUAACAUAGUGAGUUUUGGCUCAUGGUGUCUCUUGUUUGCUUCUGACCCAGGAAGUGUUAAAGUCUCUUGAAGAAAAACCAUCUUAGAAAUACAAAUGCACACAAUGCAGAUUGGGACAGGGAGAAGCAAACAUCUGCUGUUAUUUUAGAGGGCAUGCCUGCCAAUGAGAAGGCUUGAUAAUGAAUCAUGUUCUUUCCUUCUUGAGCUGUAACUCCUGGAAAUAAGAAACAUGGCCAAAUUUGUACCAGAAGAUGCUGCAUCUCUGAGUGGACGCUCCUUCAAUAGAGGAGCUCUGUUGAGCAUCCUGGGGAUCUCUGCAGAUCUACCUGUCAUUGAAGGGGUCAUAUAAUUUCCAGCAGGCUGGAUGUACCCGAGUGUCCUUUGGCUUGUAAUGUGGGUUCCCUGUAGACUCCUAAUGAAAUGCAAGUCCUGCUGUGAUUUUUCUCCGGUUUUGCCUGCCAGAAGUGGGCAUGUUCAUCACACAGGGUAUGUUGGCAAGUACAGAGCAGGUCGGAUUUAUUACAAGCACAGAGGCUGUGCUGCCCGUGACCAUCCCUGGUUCCUCUACAGAGGCUUUUUAGUGCUGGUGUGUGUGGGGAUAUGGGCAUGCUGUUUCCCCAAGCCGGAGUCUAAAAGCCAAAAGGAGGAGAGUGAGGGGCCCAAAGCACAGACCCUCAGGAGGGCAGUGAAAAUUUGUUUCCUGCCUCUGCUGCUGGUGGCCUACGGAGCUGCACUGGAGGGGACACAGCAAACCAUGCUGGAGGGGAAGACAGGCAGAGCUCAGCUGCUUUCGGGUAGCCAGCAGCAGGACAAGGGAGCCAUGGUGUCUCGAGUGAUGCUGCGCAUGUAAGCCAGUGCUGGCGAGUAGCCACAACUCAUUGCUCUGCGAGAAAUCCCAGACCGAGGCUGAGCCGUUGUUUCGAUUCCUCACCACGGCACUGAGAAGGGAGAGGGCUCUGCCCACCGCAUCGAGCCCAUGGGCGUGGAGGGACACAUGCCGUAACAUCAGGGAGGUCUGCAAGGACAGGGCACAAACCUGAGCCAGCUUGGUGGCAUGAGAUCAGGAGGAUAGUGAGGAUUUGUGAUGGGUAGACAUCCUGGGAUGCAGCUUUCUGGGGUGAGCUGUGUCAACCUCCUGUCUGGAGGCAUUGCCUGGAUGUGCUGGUGCCCUGGCCCUGCUGGGAUGCGUCUCCUUGGUCUCUUUGGGGCUGGAAGUGUGCUGCCAACAGAGUUUCUUCCAGGGGUCCCAGCUAAGCAUAGGAGGUAAAUCUGGCCAGAUCCACAUCAAAAUUAAGCACCUUAUUGUGCUUGUUCUGCCUCAUCCCUGUAAAUCUUGAGCACUUUUCAUGAUCUCUCUUGCAUUCGACUCUCAGAGAACAACUGCCACACAGUCCAUGUGUUGGCAAAAUGCUUUAUCAGUCUGUGUAGAUGAAGCCUUGUGGGCUUGUGCAGGAUUAUUAUUGCAUACCUGUGGCUGAUGUCAGCAGGUCGAGGCUGGGACAGUGCCGUCAGAAGCCACGUUUCCUUGAGAAAGCACCUACCUGACUGUGAGCAUCGCUUGGACAUGCAGCGUCCAAAAGGUUGCCGUCACAUAUACAUGUGGUCUGGCCUCACUGAGUGAUGGAAAUCCUCCUGGGGAGGGAAGGAUGCCCUCAUGAAAUCUUUUAUUAUCUUCAGUUCAUCUCUUUUGAGAAAGACGCCAGGAGGCAAAGCUCCCAGAAGGGGAUGCUGCAGUGCCCAGCAGCAGGGGAACCACGUUUCUUCUCUUUAACACAAGUUAGCAUAAGAAAUUCCCCCUACUUCGUGCAUGAAGGCAUGGCUCAUUUGUGCACUGACCACUGAGGAGGUGGGACACUGAAGGACCUUAAGCAACUAAGCUUCGUCCAUAAUAAUUCUGCUGCUAUGGCCUCGUGGGGUGCUAUGUGUACCCAGUGCUGAGAGCUGGCUGUGACCAGUUGUUUGGGUGGGCUGCCAGAGGGGGUCACUGGAGUGGGGAUGAAGGGUUGGGAGUUGAGCUGAAGUCUCUUUAGGGGCUCUCAUUUCCACCCGUCAGACCUCUCAGCACUGCCACUGGGUUCCCCUUUCCCAUAAGGUAAGUGAGAUUUGGGCAAGGAGAGCAGGUUGGGCUGUUGCCUGCUUGUCCACCCUUCCUGAGAUGCUGUCGCUCAAUCUCCUCUUUGUUUCAAGCAGCUGAAAGGCAGGAGCAUGGGAGGCAAAUUGCGGCACUUGCAGCAAGCACUUCACGACAUGCCCCGCACAUCCAAACACAAUGCAAUUUUGCAUCUGAGUACCAAAAGCUAAACAGCAGUGAGCUCACGGCAAGUUGGGAUUGGCCAGGAACUGGGUCAGGAUAAAGCGGGAUGAAGUAAACAAAACCUGAAGUCCUUGAGCGAGGCCCCCCGCCAAGCCUGCGCUGAUGCUCUCACACUCUUUCCUGCUGCAGCACCCUCCGGCCAGGUUCUCGGCAGCCACAGCACUGUGGCAGGGCCAGCCUCUGCGAGCUGGAUAUGCCUGCAACCCUGACUUGGGAAAGCAAUUAUCUUCAGCCACAAGGUCUGAAGGGCAGGCUCAGAAGGUCUGAAGUCCAUCAGGAUUGUUCUACCGCGUCCUAUCAAGGACUACCUGUCCCUGGGGUUCAGCUGCAGGCUUCAUCUGUGCAUGUGACAUGCUCCAGUCACUUAAACCCUGUACGACAAACUACACUUCUAGAAACAACAGCCACAUCUGCACUUGUAAAAGUAUGAGAUUGGUGGAUGCAUACUUGCUAGGCACCAUGAGCUGCCUUGAGUGUCUGCAGCUAGCAGCUCAGGGUUUGGGCUAUAGAGUAACCCAGGUUUUAAGCCAGGUGACAUCACCUUCAAUGCUAUUUCAACCUGCAGUAAAAUUAUUUCUUGGUUUCAGAACAUAUGAGUCCUCUGGUCCUUGGACAGGCAAAUUUGUCCAUGGAGAUCACAAAGUACCUUAAGCCUCCUUUUUCUAUACAGAUGCCUAAAUGUGUCCAUUUCAAGAUCCUACUUUGAAAGGUACUGAGAAAACUCCAAAUAUUACAGGCAAUGGGAAGAACCUAUGAAACACAAAAGCAGCAGAAAACUGAGGCAGACACUAAGUGCUGGGUAAGUGCUGGCACUGCUGCAAACCACUGUAGGUAAUACCACAAAUGCACAACACAGGAUUUCUUGUUUCCUCCAAGGCUGCUGCUAUCAGCCAUGAAAUAGGGAAAAUAUUGCACUGGAUUGACUUAGGUUUCCAUCAGAACUGUCAAUCUGUUUUUUCUUAAGGGGCAAAAAAAAUGAACAUUCACACAUACUGCUACAACAACAUGAAGUAUUUUCCUCUUCAAGAGCCCUUCCUCGCUAUCCAACGCCUUCCUUUAAAGAAUGGUGCAGAAGUCAAGCAGAGCUGUGCAUCAUCCAGAAAUCACACAGCACUCAACAGCAAUGCUCAAGGAUUCCUAGGAGCCAGUGCUGCAUGGGGAGAGCUAAAACAGGGGACUCUGCAGCAAGCGUGCAGCUGAUCCUCUCAUCCGGGGAAGCGGGGCUUGGAAACCACGCUGGGGGGUUGCCAUCUGGCAACGUGUGCCUUCCACUUGGAGCAAGAAAUGUCAAGGAGAAUUAGUGAGAUGACUGGAGACUUAAACUGCAAUGGGAAGCAACUGCUGUUCAUAAGCAGGCUGUGACUACUCAGCCUUGCUAAUCAGAUUUCAGAAGAUGCUCAGCUGGCUCAUGCUGUAGGGUGCUUGUUGCAUGUUUUGCUAACAACGCCGUGCUGCUGGGGUCUGUAUUUCAGCAAGAAAGGAGAAGGCUCCCCUGGGGGGAGCCUGACUUAAUGCCCGGAGACCUGGUUUUGUCAGUGGAGGGGGAAAAGGCCAUUUGGAAACCCGUAUAUCUUGGGCAUGGCUCUGAUACCUGCUCUGUAGGUCAUUUAAAGCAAGCAAGGCAGGACCAGAUGCUCCUCUGAGCACCAGCUGUAAGCACUGAGGUUACCAAAACAGCCUUACCCAAACAGAUCUGCUGGCUGGGGGUGACCUGACAACCUGCCCAACAUUGUGGGCAGCCAGAACCUGCACUGAUGCCGAAGCCCCGGUUGCUUGGCCACGCUGGGCCUAGGCAUGUCAGUGCCAGGAGGAAAAGCGACCACAUCCAGCGCCAGCAUGCCAGCUUCAUCGCUGCUCGGCCAGUCCAGCUUGCUUCAGCCCCCUCCCCGAAGCACACUUUAGCCGAGGCACUAGAGAGCACGGAUCAAUAUUUGAGCCAAAGGAAAUGGGGAUCCUUUGCACUGAAUCAACAUUUUAAUUAGUAAAGGAUUGUGUGAUUUUGCAUGAUUUGCUUGAUACCAAUUCCCACGAAGAAUAAAAGUUUACUUCCAUCUCCCAGCACUCUAUUAAAGCAGCUUCCGUUAGCGCUGCCUGUGCUCUCGACUGUGCUGUAUAUGGCAUUUCUAUUUUUAGAAACCAGGGUUGCCGUGACAACCCAGUGUAUUUUUUGUUAAAUAUAGCAGCUGUUGCAGGGAACUCUUGUCCUUCUGGAUGUAAAGGCUGUGUUUUUGCCCUCUGCUCAGGGUAUUAAAUGCAGAUGAGAAAGGAUGAUUAAAUAAGUGGAAGCCCAGAAGAAACCAUGGAUCUGUAAUUACACAGAGAGAUUUUGAAUGAAACUCUGUGUGUCUGCUGCUUCAGAAGCAGCCCUUCUGCAUUAGAAAUGGUGUGGGGAGAGGGAUGUGGAGCUUUUCAGUGUGGGCUGUGGGCUCCACAUGAGAGCACCCAUCCUUUCUCUCACCAGCUGGGAUGCUCACUUGCUGGCUCCCCAGUCUGCCUGUCUUUUGCCCGUUCUGGUCUCUGCCCCUUCCAGGAGACAGGCUGGUCCUGGCUGUGCUCGCCAGGCCUUGUCCCGUCCGGGAGGAGACAUGGGAGUGCCAAAUAGGUCUUGCCAUCAGAGGAUCCCUGCGGGAAGGAAGGAGCCUGUUUUGGGAAAAGCAAGUUUUGCCUCCUACUCACACUUAAGGAGCUUGAACAAGAAGGAUGUGUUGCAGGGUUAGGGUCUGGAGCUGCAUCUCCUGUUUCGUGAUGGAGACCUCACUGGAAGAAGUGCCGAUGCACAGGCACAGGUCCCAUCUCCAGGGCUGACCCAGGGGUGCAGCAUGAGGAUGCUGCAGAACUGUGCUGCACCCCAAAGCAGUAACACACCCAAGCUUCGGUGUUCAAUGGGAAAUAAACUGACUCUGUUUCCUUUUUUUUAAA